rnacentral:snRNA from 1 species
AGACAUGAGGGUGAUCUGGCUGUGAAAUGUGUCACCCCAUCAAUCAUCAGGGACGAUCUGGCUGAUCUGGCUGGCUAGGCAGGUGUCCCCUUCCUCCCUCACAGCUCCACGUGUGUCCCUCCCGAAGCUGCACCCUCUGUUGAAGAGGAUGACCACCCCCGAUAGAGGGGAACCGUUAAUUGUGACAAGGGUAUAGGAGUAGCUGUGCUCCCCUGCUAGAUCCUCCAAGCAAGCUCUCAAGGUCGAACAAACUAUUUUGGACUCAGGGUAAUUAACUGGUUCAUGACACAUAUAUUUGCAUCAUAUAUAUUUAUAUACAUUCCUAU